AUAAUAAAAAACCAAAAAUGAAAUAAAAGCCUCAAGGAAAAAAGCGUUAACAAAAAACAAAGUUUAAUUGUUAAACGUCUAGUAAGAGCAACAAUUAAAAUGAAACUAACAACAAAAGCAUUAGAGCAAAAAAUUAAAACAGCAAAUAUUGAAAAUUGCUAAGAUUUUUUUGUGGCAACAGAGAGAAAAUCGCAGCUAGACAAACGUUUGCCUAGCACACUUGCCAAAUAAAGUGGAUGUGGAACUUUAAGAGUGUGUGGCAAUAAUCCUGUUUGCAACAAUAGACUGCCACAAAAACCGCUUAUAACAACACGCUUUAUUUGCUUACGUUCUUCCAUGAACAUGGCGCUGUUCCCUGAAGAACAGGGAAGAAAAACAAAUGUCUUAAAUUAACUCUUUGGAAAAUAAGUGAAGUGAAAAUCGAAAACUGAAAUUUCCUCUUAAGGCACAAAAGGAUAUAAAGACUUAAAAUAAUUACCAACAAAAACAAAUGAAUGAACACAAUAAUUGCAAAUAAAAUAUAACAAAUUUUCACAGGAUAUAAAAGAAUAGUCCAUAGUAGCAGCAGUGUUAGUAGCUGCCAGGAAAUCUCUUUUUGCCAUGUUUUUAGUGUCAUUAAAUAAAAUCCAUCAUCUAAAUUACUAUUAUGGCCUUAAGGAUUUUGUUUCCUUUUAACAUUAUCUUCCCACUUGGUUGUCAUCACUUAAGAUUUAUCUACAAAUUUCCAAAUGUCAAUAAUAUAACGGAAAUUGUGAGUACUCAAAGUGUAACAUUUAAGGGUGCUAGACAGAUUGAAGCAGAUUUGUAAAACAUCUUAAAAUAAAAUGGAUAAUGGAAAUGCCAAGAUCGAUUGACAA